rnacentral:rRNA from 1 species
UACGUAGGGCGCAAGCGUUGUUCGGAAUUACUGGGCGUAAAGCGCACGUAGGCGGCUUUGUAAGUUAGAGGUGAAAGCCUGGAGCUCAACUCCAGAACUGCCUUUAAGACUGCAUCGCUUGAAUCCAGGAGAGGUGAGUGGAAUUCCGAGUGUAGAGGUGAAAUUCGUAGAUAUUCGGAAGAACACCAGUGGCGAAGGCGGCUCACUGGACUGGUAUUGACGCUGAGGUGCGAAAGCGUGGGGAGCAAACAGG